rnacentral:rRNA from 1 species
CCCGGGCGCACGGGUGAGUAACACGUAUGCAAUCCACCUGUAACAGGGGAGUAACCCGGAGAAAUCCGGACUAAUACCCAUAAUAUGGGCGCUCCGCAUGGAGAGUUCAUUAAAGAGAGCAAUUUUGGUUACAGACGAGCAUGCGCUCCAUUAGCCAGUUGGCGGGGUAACGGCCCACCAAGGCGACGAUGGAUAGGGGUUCUGAGAGGAAGGUCCCCCACAUUGGAACUGAGACACGGUCCAA